UUUUUUUUUUUUUGGAGCCCUCUCCACUUAAAUGAGUUGGUGACAAUGGCAUACUACUCGCCUAAGAACCGGGGCAACUCAUCUCUGCUCUAGGCCUUUGAUAAACCAACAAUUAAUUCACGAAUGCCUCAAAUUCCUAAUCUUUAAAAAAGGCAUUCCAUGUGGGUGAUAUUUUCAGGAAUCAACAGCUAAUGUUCCCCCACCCACUCCUGAAGCUAUGCUAUCAACCCAGCAGGCCAUUAUAACCCAGGGGCUCCUAAGCACAAAGACUUUCUAUGUUCCCCAUUUCUUGUUUUUAGGAAAUGGGCCUUUCAGCCUCCAUCACCUUCCCUGAGUUCCUGGGGACAGGUCAGACAGUUGCUCAUCAGAGAAGAAAGGGGACACAAAGACAAGGGAGGAACAGUUAAGAAACAAUAGUACAGGCUUGGGGGCAAGAUCCCAGUUCCCUCUCAAGGGACACACAUAACAACGUAGGCAUCUCAUACGCCUAAGAGAAAAGUUCUAUUCCUUAUGCUUCUCUUAGAAACGACUGUUUUAAAAUUAAGCUUAGAGUCCUUCCUUGUCCUUCUCCCUGGCUUAAUUGCACCCUAAACACGAUCACCUGUAAGCUAAAGAUUAGGAACCCUGAGCACAAUCACAUGUGAUUAAUGAAGAAUAUUAGCACAUGAUGUUUUUCAGGAACCUUCCCUAUUUUGUUCCAAUCUCUGAUCAAUAUGCCCCUUUCCAAUGUACUAUUGUUCUAGGCAACAAGCCAGAAGACCACCAUCAUGAUCAUGCCAGAUCUCCUGACGUCAGCUUUGAUGACUAAGAUUCCCCCAAAGAAAGAUGAAUGCAUGUUUGCCCUCAUCUCGAUUCCUAUCGAAAACCUGUUUUUCUCCUUUUUACUAUAAAACUCCCCGCAAUUCUUCCCAAAGGAGGGCACAGUCUUCAAGGCACAAAGAGGGAGAAAAAAAUGAAGCUGCGGAAGAAGACGGUG
rnacentral:lncRNA from 1 species